UUUUAUUCGCGCAGUUGGAGUACAACCGAUUCGCAGAAUCAAGUCAUUUAAAAGGCAAUCAAUAAAUUUUUAUUAAAAUCGUGUUAAAUGUGGUAGAUUGGUGGAAGAGUACUAUAGAUAAUAAAGCAAAGAAAACUGGCAACUGUGAAACUUUGGUAGCGGUGUGAUAACUUCAUGCUGUGAUGAGUAGCAGAGGAAGCAGGUCCAGUAAACAUAAAUAGGAUCUCCGUCCUGUUUCGAUUAUUAAAAUUUAAACUUUUUUUGGUAGGUAAUACCGCGGAAUUAUGUACAAGAUAAAGAUCACAUCUACUCAUGAUAUACGAACAUACAUAACCGUAGCCUUCGAACAUGUCACAACUGACGUUCUGAAUUCUAUAAGAACUGGAAAACCAUUUGGACUUCUCACAUGCGACCAAAAUACAUAUGCGGAAAUCUAUUAAUUAAGCUGCACAAAACGUGAACAAUAUUUCUACCUUUGGAAAUAUAAACAGUUCUUUACUGCAUUAUAUAGUUUUUUUUUAAGAAAAACCUGAGGCUGUAUGCAUCAUUUCUAUGACACCCUCUGUAUAUCAGUCAUAUUUUCGAUAAAAAUCAUAGCGGUAACUAUCAGCUUUUCUUCUGUUGUUAGAAUAUUCCAGUA